GACAGAGGGGGCAAGCGUUGCUCGGAAUCACUGGGCGUAAAGGGCGCGUAGGCGGGAUGGCAAGUCAGUCGUGAAAUCUCUCGGCUCAACCGAGAAACGUCGGCUGAUACUGCCGUUCUUGAGGGAUGCAGAGGAGACUGGAAUUCCCGGUGUAGCGGUGAAACGUGUAGAGAUCGGGAGGAACACCGGUGGCGAAGGCGGGUCUCUGGGCAUCUCCUGACGCUGAGGCGCGAAAGCGUGGGGAGCAAACGGG
rnacentral:rRNA from 1 species